rnacentral:rRNA from 1 species
ACGAACGCUGGCGGCAUGCCUAACACAUGCAAGUCGAGCGCCCCGCAAGGGGAGUGGCGCACGGGUGAGUAACGCGUGGGGAUCUGCCCAUUGGUGGGGAAUAACCUCGGGAAACUGAGGCUAAUACCGCAUACGCCCUGUAAAGGGGAAAGAUUUAUCGCCGAUGGAUGAACCCGCGUCCGAUUAGCUUGUUGGUGAGGUAAUGGCUCACCAAGGCUUCGAUCGGUAGCUGGUCUGAGAGGAUGACCAGCCACACUGGGACUGAGACACGGCCCAGACUCCUACGGGAGGCAGCAGUGGGGAAUAUUGGACAAUGGGCGAAAGCCUGAUCCAGCAAUACCGCGUGAGUGAUGAAGGCCUUAGGGUUGUAAAGCUCUUUUAGUAGGGAAGAUAAUGACGGUACCUACAGAAAAAGCACCGGCUAACUCCGU